GAUGAACGCUGGCGGCGUGCCUAAUACAUGCAAGUCGAGCGAACAGACGAGGAGCUUGCUCCUCUGACGUUAGCGGCGGACGGGUGAGUAACACGUGGAUAACCUACCUAUAAGACUGGGAUAACUUCGGGAAACCGGAGCUAAUACCGGAUAAUAUAUUGAACCGCAUGGUUCAAUAGUGAAAGACGGUUUUGCUGUCACUUAUAGAUGGAUCCGCGCCGCAUUAGCUAGUUGGUAAGGUAACGGCUUACCAAGGCGACGAUGCGUAGCCGACCUGAGAGGGUGAUCGACCACACUAGAACUGAGACACGGUCCAGACUCCUACGGGAGGCAGCAGUAGGGAAUCUUCCGCAAUGGGCGAAAGCCUGACGGAGCAACGCCGCGUGAGUGAUGAAGGUCUUCGGAUCGUAAAACUCUGUUAUUAGGGAAGAACAAAUGUGUAAGUAACUAUGCACGUCUUGACGGUACCUAAUCAGAAAGCCACGGCUAACUACGUG
rnacentral:rRNA from 1 species